rnacentral:tRNA from 1 species
GUCCCCGUAGCUCAGAUGGAUAGAGCACCUUCCUCCUAAGAAGGGGGUCGCACGUUCGAAUCGUGUCGGGGACGCCA